rnacentral:lncRNA from 1 species
AUUGCUUAUAUAGUCUAGAAAGUAUUCGACUUUCUGAUUUUUCUGUUUUAGAAGGCUAAUAUUAAAAAUACCAUUUUUACAUUCUAAGUUAUUUCAAAUAUAUCCAUAGAGUUAAAUUUUGUUAGUUAGCUGUUAGCAAUAACUGUUAUCUUUAUAAAAUUACUAUUUUGCCCUUUCAAAUAUCUCCUUCUAGCAUUACCAAUUUUUCUUAUUUGCCCUUAAUUUGGAGGCAAAAAAAGUUUUUUGAUGUUUGAUUUUUUUAAAUAUACCCUUAUUUCAUUACCAACUUUUCUUAUUUAUCCUUAAAUUAAGGGCAAAAUAGGUAUUUUGAUUUUUUAAAUUCCGGUAGAUAUUUAACUCGCGUUUAACCCGAGAUAAUUUAACGGGUGAUAACUAUCACGUCCCGGAUAUCACGUUCCCCGGGCACGCUGACAAAUCCGCCAUAUACAAAGAAAUUUUCUCUAUAUACGAAGCGAUAGCUGUACCUAUAAAAAUACAAUACUACAACCAGUAGUAUAGAGCUGUAAGGAACAAAACAUAAACUUGUAGCAAAUAAAAGUU